GAGUUUGAUCUUGGCUCAGGACGAACGCUGGCGGCGUGCCUAAUACAUGCAAGUCGAGCGGAUCUUCAUUAGCUUGCUUUUGAAGAUCAGCGGCGGACGGGUGAGUAACACGUGGGCAACCUGCCUGUAAGACUGGGAUAACUUCGGGAAACCGGAGCUAAUACCGGAUAAUCCUUUUCCUCUCAUGAGGAAAAGCUGAAAGACGGUUUCGGCUGUCACUUACAGAUGGGCCCGCGGCGCAUUAGCUAGUUGGUGAGGUAACGGCUCACCAAGGCGACGAUGCGUAGCCGACCUGAGAGGGUGAUCGGCCACACUGGGACUGAGACACGGCCCAGACUCCUACGGGAGGCAGCAGUAGGGAAUCUUCCGCAAUGGACGAAAGUCUGACGGAGCAACGCCGCGUGAGCGAUGAAGGCC
rnacentral:rRNA from 1 species